CCGACGGUGAGAGAUGAAAGCUGGGGCACGAACCGGAUUAGAUACCCGGGUAGUCCCAGCCGUAAACGAUGCUCGCUAGGUGUCUUGGAUGGUGCGACCGUUUCAGGUGCCGCAGGGAAGCCGUGAAGCGAGCCACCUGGGAAGUACGGCCGCAAGGCUGAAACUUAAAGGAAUUGGCGGGGGAGCACUACAACGGGUGGAGCCUGCGGUUUAAUUGGACUCAACGCCGGAAAACUCACCUGUGGCG
rnacentral:rRNA from 1 species